rnacentral:rRNA from 1 species
UACGUAGGGGGCAAGCGUUAUCCGGAUUUACUGGGUGUAAAGGGGGCGCAGACGGCAGCGCAAGCCAGGAGUGAAAGCCCGGGGCCCAACCCCGGGACUGCUCUUGGAACUGCGCGGCUGGAGUGCAGGAGGGGCAGGCGGAAUUCCUGGUGUAGCGGUGAAAUGCUUAGAGAUCAUACAGAACACCGAUUGCGAAGGCAGCUUACCAAUCUAUAUCUGACGUUGAGGCACGAAAGCGUGGGGAGCAAACAGG